rnacentral:rRNA from 1 species
GACAGAGGAGCCAAGCGUUGUCCGGAUUGACUGGGCGUAAAGGGCACGCAGGUGGUGGGGCAAGUGUGAUGUGAAAGCGGCUCGCUUAACGGGCCGAGGCCAUCGCAGACUGCCUGACUCGAGCGCGAGAGAGGUCCGUGGAAUUGCCGGUGUAGUGGUGAAAUGCGUAGAGAUCGGGAAGAACAUCGGUGGCGAAAGCGCUCUACUGGACCGCAACUGACACUCAGGGACGAAAGCUAGGGGAGCGAAUGGG